rnacentral:rRNA from 1 species
UGUGUGAAGAAGGCCUUAUGGUUGUAAAGCACUUUAAGCGAGGAGGAGGCUACUGAGACUAAUACUCUUGGAUAGUGGACGUUACUCGCAGAAUAAGCACCGGCUAACUCUGUGCCAGCAGCCGCGGUAAUACGUAGGUGCGUG